rnacentral:misc_RNA from 1 species
UAUAAAUAUGACAACAGUGCUUUAACAAGUAUCACAGGUUGGAACAAUUGAUAUCCUAUGUUAACAGGAAUAAGGAAAGAGAAAAAAAGGUACCUAAGUGGGGUUUCUAACAUGGGUUUGUCCUCUACGCUUCACUCUUCACCAUCAUCAUCGUCUUCAUCUCCAUUUUCCUCAUCAUCUUCUCCAUCAGAAUCCUCUUCAUCUUCAUCAAUAUCAUUGUUGAAAUAUUUCAAAGGAUUGGGCCAUAGGUCCUCUUUAAUUAUCUCAGCUACUUCAUCAUGAAGCUCAGUGAUAUCUUUUUGUUCCGUUUCACCAAACCAACUGAAGAAGCUGUCUUCAGCCAGGGGUCGCUUUUUCCCUUUCUUCUCACCAUUAACUCCGUUUGAG